UACGAGUGGUGCAAGCGUUAUUCUGAAUCAUUGGGCGUAAAGGGCGCGUAGACGGUAUGUUAAGUUUGUUGUUAAAUCCUUCGGCUUAACCGAAGAUAGGCAAUGAAAACUGGCGUGCUAGAGGGUGGAAGAGAGAAGUGGAAUUCUUGGAGUAGCGGUAAAUGCGUAGAUCUCGAGAGGAACACCAAUGGCGAAGGCAGCUUCUUGGUCCAAUCCUGACGCUGAGGCGCGAAAGCGUGGGGAGCAAACAGG
rnacentral:rRNA from 1 species